GAAAUGCGAUAAGUAAUGUGAAUUGCAGAAUUUAGUGAAUCAUCGAAUCUUUGAACGCACAUUGCACCCAUUGGUAAUCCCUUGGGUAUACCUGUUCGAGCGCCGUUUGUGUUCUAAGGCUCAGCCUUGCGUUGACGUUUUGCCCCUGGUAAAAUUUGGAGGGGGCUCGUCGAAACACAUCGGCGCCCGUCUCGGCCCCGAACGCAACGAAAUGCGAGAAAGGGUCAUUGAGAAUGGGCGGCCAGUCUUUUAUCGAAAGCAUGGCCUCGGAUCAGGUAGGGAUACCCGCUGAACUUAAGC
rnacentral:misc_RNA from 1 species